rnacentral:rRNA from 1 species
ACGCUGGCGGCAGGCCUAACACAUGCAAGUCGAGCGGUAGAGAGAAGCUUGCUUCUCUUGAGAGCGGCGGACGGGUGAGUAAUGCCUAGGAAUCUGCCUGGUAGUGGGGGAUAACGUUCGGAAACGGACGCUAAUACCGCAUACGUCCUACGGGAGAAAGCAGGGGACCUUCGGGCCUUGCGCUAUCAGAUGAGCCUAGGUCGGAUUAGCUAGUUGGUGAGGUAAUGGCUCACCAAGGCGACGAUCCGUAACUGGUCUGAGAGGAUGAUCAGUCACACUGGAACUGAGACACGGUCCGGACCCCUACGGGAGGCAGCAGUGGGGAAUAUUGGACAAUGGGCGAAAGCCUGAUCCAGCCAUGCCGCGUGUGUGAAGAAGGUCUUCGGAUUGUAAAGCACUUUAAGUUGGGAGGAAGGGCGUUAACCUAAUACGUUAGUGUUUUGACGUUACCGACAGAAUAAGCACCGGCUAACUCUGUGCCAGCAGCCGCGGUAAUACAGAGGGUGCAAGCGUUAAUCGGAAUUACUGGGCGUAAAGCGCGCGUAGGUGGUUUGUUAAGUUGGAUGUGAAAUCCCCGGGCUCAACCUGGGAACUGCAUUCAAAACUGACUGACUAGAGUAUGGUAGAGGGUGGUGGAAUUUCCUGUGUAGCGGUGAAAUGCGUAGAUAUAGGAAGGAACACCAGUGGCGAAGGCGACCACCUGGACUAAUACUGACACUGAGGUGCGAAAGCGUGGGGAGCAAAC